rnacentral:rRNA from 1 species
GACGAACUUUGGCGGCGUGCUUAACACAUGCAAGUCGAACGGAAAGGCCCUGCUUUUGUGGGGUGCUCGAGUGGCGAACGGGUGAGUAACACGUGAGUAACCUGCCCUUGACUUUGGGAUAACUUCAGGAAACUGGGGCUAAUACCGGAUAGGAGCUCCUGCUGCAUGGUGGGGGUUGGAAAGUUUCGGCGGUUGGGGAUGGACUCGCGGCUUAUCAGCUUGUUGGUGGGGUAGUGGCUUACCAAGGCUUUGACGGGUAGCCGGCCUGAGAGGGUGACCGGCCACAUUGGGACUGAGAUACGGCCCAGACUCCUACGGGAGGCAGCAGUGGGGAAUAUUGCACAAUGGGCGGAAGCCUGAUGCAGCAACGCCGCGUGCGGGAUGACGGCCUUCGGGUUGUAAACCGCUUUCGCCUGUGACGAAGCGUGAGUGACGGUAAUGGGUAAAGAAGCACCGGCUAACUACGUGCCAGCAGCCGCGGUGAUACGUAGGGUGCGAGCGUUGUCCGGAUUUAUUGGGCGUAAAGGGCUCGUAGGUGGUUGAUCGCGUCGGAAGUGUAAUCUUGGGGCUUAACCCUGAGCGUGCUUUCGAUACGGGUUGACUUGAGGAAGGUAGGGGAGAAUGGAAUUCCUGGUGGAGCGGUGGAAUGCGCAGAUAUCAGGAGGAACACCAGUGGCGAAGGCGGUUCUCUGGGCCUUUCCUGACGCUGAGGAGCGAAAGCGUGGGGAGCGAACAGGCUUAGAUACCCUGGUAGUCCACGCUGUAAACGGUGGGUACUAGGUGUGGGGUCCAUUCCACGGGUUCCGUGCCGUAGCUAACGCUUUAAGUACCCCGCCUGGGGAGUACGGCCGCAAGGCUAAAACUCAAAGGAAUUGACGGGGCCCCGCACAAGCGGCGGAGCAUGCGGAUUAAUUCGAUGCAACGCGUAGAACCUUACCUGGGUUUGACAUGAAUCGGGAGUGCUCAGAGAUGGGUGUGCCUCUUUUGGGGUCGGUUCACAGGUGGUGCAUGCCUGUCGUCAGCUCGUGUCGUGAGAUGUUGGGUUAAGUCCCGCAACGAGCGCAACCCUUGUUCACUGUUGCCAGCACGUUAUGGUGGGGACUCAGUGGAGACCGCCGGGGUCAACUCGGAGGAAGGUGGGGAUGACGUCAAGUCAUCAUGCCCCUUAUGUCCAGGGCUUCACGCAUGCUACAAUGGCUGGUACAGAGAGUGGCGAGCCUGUGAGGGUGAGCGAAUCUCGGAAAGCCGGUCUCAGUUCGGAUUGGGGUCUGCAACUCGACCUCAUGAAGUCGGAGUCGCUAGUAAUCGCAAAUCAGCAACGCUGCGGUGAAUACGUUCCCGGGGCU